UCAAAAUUGAGUCAAUUAGAGAAUAAUUUGCAAGGAAAGCACUGGCUGCUGCAGGGUGCUUCUCUCAAGACAUUUAAGCCCAAGUUUUUGGUUUUAAGAACCUUCCAGCCCUUCCAUCUGCUCACCACAUUACUGUGUGUGUGUUUAUAGCUGCCCCAGCAGCCAAGGGGGGCUGGAAGCAGUACCCAGCUUUUUGGCAUCACCACCAGGAAGAGGUGGAGGGGAAAACAGCCCUGACUGGUUUUGUACAACAAGAGACCAUCAGUGACCAGUCACAAAAAUGGAGCAGCCACACGUGGAAACUGCACAAGGAAAAAAGCCAAAUGAUCUCAGCUGGCUGUAGGAGUGUCCUUCCCUCCUCAUGCUAUUGCAAAGCAACCAGCAAAGUAAAGCUUAUGCUAAUGACGGUGUCAUUUAGAAAUGAGGCUUGUAACAAAAGGGAAACAAAAGGAACCUGCACAGACAUCAAAGCUUCACAAAAGCUGAGGCCAUCCUGAAUAUUUUCUCAGUGGAAUUGGUUGGGUUUGUAACACCAGUAAGAAGACAAACUAUUGCAAAACUGAAGAAAUAGCAGAAAACAUUGAGAGAAAGGAAUGCAAAAAAGAUUGCUUUUGUAAGGACCAUCCUGCUCUUGUUGUCUUGGAUGUUUUCUUGCCUGUAUUUUCCAUGCACAGAAGCAAGUGUUGCAGGUAGGUCCCCAGUACUGAUGAAAUCCUGAAACAACUCUUGGCCUUGGGAUGUUAUUGCCUGGCUGCCACAGCACAAGGAGCAUGGGAUCCAUGCACACGUUUCUUCAGGACCUCCAACGGAUUCAGCAUUUCUGUAGCUGCUCCUCUUUCCCACAGUCCUGGAAUGGGUACUGC